AGCGAACGCUGGCGGCAUGCCUAACACAUGCAAGUCGCACGGGGGGGCUUCGGCCUCCCAGUGGCGGACGGGUGAGGAACGCGUAGGGACCUGUCGAGGGGUGGGGGAUAACCGCGGGAAACUGCGGCUAAUACCGCAUGACGCCGCGGCGUGACAGCCGGGGCCAAAGGCGAAAGCCGCCCGCCGAGGGGCCUGCGUCCGAUUAGCUGGUUGGCGGGGUAGCGGCCCACCAAGGCGUCGAUCGGUAGCUGGUCUGAGAGGGUGAUCAGCCACUCCGGGACUGAGACACGGCCCGGACUCCUACGGGAGGCAGCAGUGGGGAAUAUUGGACAAUGGGCGCAAGCCUGAUCCAGCAAUGCCGCGUGGGUGAAGAAGGUCUUCGGAUUGUAAAGCCCUUUCGGCGGGGACGAUGGUGACGGUACCCGCAGAAGAAGCCCCGGCUAACUUCGUG
rnacentral:rRNA from 1 species